UACGGAGGAUGCAAGCGUUAUCCGGAAUUAUUGGGCGUAAAGCGUCCGUAGGUGGUUAAUCAAGUCUAUUGUCGAAAGCCUGGGGCUUAACCCUGGAGAGGCGGUGGAAACUGGUUGACUUGAGUGGCGGUAGGGGCAGAGGGAAUUCCCAGUGUAGCGGUGAAAUGCGUAGAUAUUGGGAAGAACACCGGUGGCGAAAGCGCUGCUGCUGGGCCUGCACUGACGACUGAAGG
rnacentral:rRNA from 1 species